rnacentral:rRNA from 1 species
UUAGGUCGGGAACUCAAAGGAGACUGCCAGUGAUAAACUGGAGGAAGGUGGGGAUGACGUCAAGUCAUUAUGGCCCUUACGACCAGGGCUACACACGUGCUACAAUGGCGCAUACAAAGAGAAGCGACCUCGCGAGAGCAAGCGGACCUCAUAAAGUGCGUCGUAGUCCGGAUUGGAGUCUGCAACUCGACUCCAUGAAGUCGGAAUCGCUAGUAAUCGUGGAUCAGAAUGCCACGGUGAAUACGUUCCCGGGCCUUGUACACACCGCCCGUCACACCAUGGGAGUGGGUUGCAAAAGAAGUAGGUAGCUUAACCUUCGGGAGGGCGCUUACCACUUUGUGAUUCAUGACUGGGGUGAAGUCGUAACAAGGUAACCGUAGGGGAACCUGCGGUUGGAUCACCUCCUUACCUUAAAGAA